AACGCACGAGACCUGCGGACCUGCGGAGGGAUCAUUAGCGAUGAAAGCCCCCCUUGAGGGGACACCCCAUCACUACCCUUGCCUUUGAGUACCUUCUGUUUCCUCGGCGGGUUCGCCCGCCAAUGGGGACUAAUCCCAAACUCUUUGCAGUAGCAGUGCAGUCUGAAAAAAAAGUAAAACUUUUAAAACUUUUAACAAUGGAUCUCU
rnacentral:misc_RNA from 1 species